GACGAACGCUGGCGGCGUGCCUAAUACAUGCAAGUCGAGCGAAUGACGAGGAGCUUGCUCCUUGAGAUUUAGCGGCGGACGGGUGAGUAACACGUGGGCAACCUGCCCUGUAGACUGGGAUAACUUCGGGAAACCGGAGCUAAUACCGGAUAAUCCAUUUCACUUCAUGGUGAAAUGUUGAAAGGCGCUUUCGCGUCACUACAGGAUGGGCCCGCGGUGCAUUAGCUAGUUGGUGGGGUAACGGCCUACCAAGGCGACGAUGCAUAGCCGACCUGAGAGGGUGAUCGGCCGCAUUGGGACUGAGACACGGCCCAAACUCCUACGGGAGGCAGCAGUAGGGAAUCUUCCACAAUGGACGAAAGUCUGAUGGAGCAACGCCGCGUGAGUGAUGAAGGUUUUCGGAUCGUAAAACUCUGUUGUAAGGGAAGAACAAGUACGUUAGGAAAUGAACGUACCUUGACGGUACCUUAUUAGAAAGCCACGGCUAACUACGUGCCAGCAGCCGCGGUAAUACGUAGGUGGCAAGCGUUGUCCGGAUUUAUUGGGCGUAAAGCGCGCGCAGGCGGUUUCUUAAGUCUGAUGUGAAAGCCCACGGCUCAACCGUGGAGGGUCAUUGGAAACUGGGAGACUUGAGUGCAGAAGAGGAAAGUGGAAUUCCAAGUGUAGCGGUGAAAUGCGUAGAGAUUUGGAGGAACACCAGUGGCGAAGGCGACUUUCUGGUCUGUAACUGACGCUGAGGCGCGAAAGCAUGGGGAGCAAACAGGAUUAGAUACCCUGGUAGUCCAUGCCGUAAACGAUGAGUGCUAGGUGUUAGGGGGUUUCCGCCCCUUAGUGCUGCAGCUAACGCAUUAAGCACUCCGCCUGGGGAGUACGACCGCAAGGUUGAAACUCAAAGGAAUUGACGGGGGCCCGCACAAGCGGUGGAGCAUGUGGUUUAAUUCGAAGCAACGCGCAGAACCUUACCAGCCCUUGACAUGUCCGGGACCGGUCGCAGAGAUGUGACCCUCUCUUCGGAGUCCGGAACACAGGUGCUGCAUGGCUGUCGUCAGCUCGUGUCGUGAGAUGUUGGGUUAAGUCCCGCAACGAGCGCAACCCCCGUCCUUAGUUGCUACCAUUUAGUUGAGCACUCUAAGGAGACUGCCGGUGAUAAGCCGCGAGGAAGGUGGGGAUGACGUCAAGUCCUCAUGGCCCUUACGGGCUGGGCUACACACGUGCUACAAUGGCGGUGACAGUGGGAAGCUAAGAGGCAACUCUUCGCAAAUCUCAAAAAGCCGUCUCAGUUCGGAUUGGGCUCUGCAACUCGAGCCCAUGAAGUUGGAAUCGCUAGUAAUCGUGGAUCAGCAUGCCACGGUGAAUACGUUCCCGGGCCUUGUACACACCGCCCGUCACACCAUGGGAGUUGGUUUUACCUGAAGACGGUGCGCUAACCCGCAAGGGAGGCAGCCGGCCACGGUAGGGUCAGCGACUGGGGUGAAGUCGUAACAAGGUAGCCGUAGGGGAACCUGCGGCUGGAUCACCUCCU
rnacentral:rRNA from 1 species